rnacentral:lncRNA from 1 species
GGACAAGCAGCUGCAGCUCCUCCCCGACACAACCGCUGCUAGGGUAUGCCUGUGUUCUAAUUAGAGAUUAGAUAUUAUUCUUGCAUGCCUGGUUCAGUCAAGUAAUCCAAAAUUGCUUAUCUUCUUUGAACCAGUUUCAUUGCAAUAUCAAAAGCUUUUUUACAGGUCCUCUUAUAUAAAUAAAUGCCUCUCAUGACAUAUCAUUGGCAAUGUUAAAGAUACGUGUCAGACCCAGCUGAUCGUGACGAACACAAGCUGUAGUUCAGAGAGGAAUUCAAUUGCAUUUCAGGGGCGAAUUGCCGAGGAUUUAUCUUACAACCAGAGGCACCUAAGCCGGCCAGGAACACUGGCGGGGCGAUGGGGAAACCCUACAUAUGAUAGUGCUCUACCGAGCCGGAAUCCAUGGCUUUAUAGCCUUACACAAAAGGGGUAAAAAUUCAGGGAAAAGCGGUAAAAAGAUGAUGAUGCGCUCUCCUGCAGAAGCUCACGGCGUCAGCUGAACACGGAGGUACGUUGGCCGUCGGAUCGGAGAUCAACGCCUCCCGCAACUUCAAUGCUGUAGCGCGCCCUCCACCCUGUNNNNN